AAUUUUGGACAAUGGGGGAAACCCUGAUCCAGCCAUCCCGCGUGUGCGAUGAAGGCCUUCGGGUUGUAAAGCACUUUUGGCAGGGAAGAAAGGGUUCUGGCUAAUAAUCAGAACUGCUGACGGUACCUGCAGAAUAAGCACCGGCUAACUACGUGCCAGCAGCCGCGGUAAUACGUAGGGUGCAAGCGUUAAUCGGAAUUACUGGGCGUAAAGCGUGCGCAGGCGGUUUGGCAAGAAGGAUGUGAAAUCCCGGGGCUUAACCUCGGAACUGCAUUUUUAACUGCCGAGCUAGAGUAUGUCAGAGGGGGGUAGAAUUCCACGUGUAGCAGUGAAAUGCGUAGAUAUGUGGAGGAAUACCGAUGGCGAAGGCAGCCCCCUGGGAUAAUACUGACGCUCAGACACGAAAGCGUGGGGAGCGAACA
rnacentral:rRNA from 1 species